UACGUAGGGCGCAAGCGUUGUCCGGAAUUAUUGGGCGUAAAGAGCUCGUAGGCGGCCUGUCGCGUCGGAUGUGAAAGCCCGGGGCUUAACCCCGGGUCUGCAUUCGAUACGGGCAGGCUAGAGUGUGGUAGGGGAGAUCGGAAUUCCUGGUGUAGCGGUGAAAUGCGCAGAUAUCAGGAGGAACACCGGUGGCGAAGGCGGAUCUCUGGGCCAUUACUGACGCUGAGGAGCGAAAGCGUGGGGAGCGAACAGG
rnacentral:rRNA from 1 species